GGUGAUGUAGUUCAGGGGUGGAAUGCUUGACUAGCAAGCAUGAGGCCCUGGGUUUGACUCCCAGUAUUUCCA
rnacentral:tRNA from 2 species